AUAAGAAGCUAAGAACUGUUAAAAGAUUAACUGAAACAUAUUAAAAAAUGUUAGACUUUGAGCAAAAAUCUGUUUGGAUGUGGCAGCUACAAACUGAAAGUGGUUAGGAGGGUUCUGGUUGCAGGAGCCAGGAGAAAGACUUAAACAGACAAAGUGCAGAAGCAAAGAAUGAAGAUACACAGUGGAAAGACUCAAAAUCACAAGGCCAUGAUGUUGGUAAACAGCCAUAAACUCAAAACAAUGAGUGACCUAUCUUUCUGGAAAAAAAAAAAAAGUGAAGUUAAAUUUCUACAGAUGAAUCAGAGAGAGACAGAGCAUGAACGGGGGAGGGGCAGAG